GAUGAACGCUGGCGGCGUGCCUAAUACAUGCAAGUCGAGCGAACGGACGAGAAGCUUGCUUCUCUGAUGUUAGCGGCGGACGGGUGAGUAACACGUGGAUAACCUACCUAUAAGACUGGGAUAACUUCGGGAAACCGUAGCUAAUACCGGAUAAUAUUUUGAACCGCAUGGUUCAAAAGUGAAAGACGGUCUUGCUGUCACUUAUAGAUGGAUCCGCGCUGCAUUAGCUAGUUGGUAAGGUAACGGCUUACCAAGGCAACGAUGCAUAGCCGACCUGAGGGUGAUCGGCCACACUGGAACUGAGACACGGUCCAGACUCCUACGGGAGGCAGCAGUAGGGAAUCUUCCGCAAUGGGCGAAAGCCUGACGGAGCAACGCCGCGUGAGUGAUGAAGGUCUUCGGAUCGUAAAACUCUGUUAUUAGGGAAGAACAUAUGUGUAAGUAACUGUGCACAUCUUGACGGUACCUAAUCAGAAAGCCACGGCUAACUACGUG
rnacentral:rRNA from 1 species